rnacentral:pre_miRNA from 1 species
AGUGGAAUUGCUGGGUUAUAUUGUUACUCUAUGUUUAAUUUUCUUGAGUAAUUGCCAAACUGUUUUCCAAAGUGGUUACACCAUUUUAUAUUCCCAUCAGCAAU